rnacentral:tRNA from 1 species
AUUCGUGUAGUUUAUAAAAACACUUCAUCUUCAGUGAAGAAAUGAAUCCAAGAUUCCAUGAAUA